AAGUGACGCGAGGCUCUGCGGAGACCAGGAGUUAGACUGUAGGACGAUCUCGGGCACCACGUGUUCCUGGUACUCGCCGGCCGGAGCCCCCGGCUUCCCGGGGCCGGGGGACCUUAGCGGCACCCACACACAGCCUACUUUCCAAGCGGAGCCAUGUCUGGUAACGGCAAUGCGGCUGCAACGGCGGAAGAAAACAGCCCAAAGAUGAGAGUGAUUCGUGUGGGUACCCGCAAGAGCCAGCUUGCUCGCAUACAGACGGACAGUGUGGUGGCAACAUUGAAAGCCUUGUACCCUGGCCUGCAGUUUGAAAUCAGUGAGUUUUCUGGAAAGGAGUGGAAGCUAAUGGGAAGCCCAGUACCCCAAGAGGGGAGAACACAACAUUUCUGGCUUUGCCUAUAGCUGAAGCCCGUCCUGCUGCCCCGAGAUUCCCUCUGGGCUGCUCCCAGUUCCGAAGGUGCUUUCCUCUGAAUACCUCCAGCUCUGACUACCUGGAUUAGCCUGGCAUUUAACAUCUUGAGCUUUGGGUCUGUUUAUGAGUGUUUCUGGUCUUCCUGCUUGAUUGUAUAUACUCAGAGGGCAGG
rnacentral:sRNA from 1 species